CCUACGGGUGGCAGCAGUGGGGAAUAUUGGACAAUGGGGGGAACCCUGAUCCAGCGACGCCGCGUGAGUGAAGAAGUAUUUCGGUAUGUAAAGCUCUAUCAGCAGGGAAGAAAGAAAUGACGGUACCUGACUAAGAAGCCCCGGCUAACUACGUGCCAGCAGCCGCGGUAAUACGUAGGGGGCAAGCGUUAUCCGGAUUUACUGGGUGUAAAGGGAGCGUAGACGGCGAUGCAAGUCUGAAGUGAAAGGCGGGGGCCCAACCCUCGGACUGCUUUGGAAACUGUAUGGCUGGAGUGCAGGGGAUGUAAGUGGAAUUCCUAGUGUAGCGGUGAAAUGCGUAGAUAUUAGGAGGAACACCAGUGGCGAAGGCGGCUUACUGGACUGUAACUGACGUUGAGGCUCGAAAGCGUGGGGAGCAAACAGGAUUAGAUACCCUUGUAGUC
rnacentral:rRNA from 1 species